CUGAACACUGUCAUCUGCCAGAGCUUCAGGCAAGAACCCAGAACAGAUGAAACCCCAGACAUGACAAAAUAAGCCAAAGAAUACCAGGCCAAGGUGUGAAAGGCCAGAUGAGAACAAGCAGCGUACACGAUUCUGUUGCCAACAGAUCUCCCCUAACAGUGUCGUGCACCAAAUUUCCACAGUGAAUGUCAGGAAAAAAUGGCAAUUGAGAUGAAGAAACUGAGGCAGACAGAGGUGAAGAAACUUGCACAAGGUCAAAGAACAAGCUGAAGAAAUCUGAAAAAAGGCUGAAAGCUGGAACAACUGAUGGAAUUCUACGAGACUGUACAAACAAACAAACACUAGCAAAAGAAAUAAGCUGGACACAAGGGGAGGAUUCAUCAUCAAAUCAUUACAUGAUUUCAUGUUAAUGUGGGGAAGGGAAAUAUUUGUCAAUGGCUAUGUCUCAAACUGCCCCUGGAGAAGUCGAAAGAAUACCUGAAGCUACAUUAGAAGUACGAUUGAGAAAUCACUGAUAUAUUACUUCUCACUCCUUUAUCGCCAGGCAGUACAGUGAUUGCAAAUUGCAGUUAGAAUGGGAAUGUCGGCAUGUUGUUUAUUUUCAACAUGAUUCGACAUGAGAAUAACAAAAAUU
ensembl:lncRNA LINC00710 long intergenic non-protein coding RNA 710